rnacentral:rRNA from 1 species
AUUCCUACGGGAGGCAGCAGUAGGGAAUAUUGGACAAUGGGCGCAAGCCUGAUCCAGCCAUGCCGCGUGGGUGAUGAAGGCCCUAGGGUUGUAAAGCCCUUUCGGCGGGGAAGAUAAUGACGGUACCCGCAGAAGAAGCCCCGGCUAACUUCGUGCCAGCAGCCGCGGUAAUAAU